ACUGACUGAAGAAUGUGGUGAGCAGAAUCUGCUGGUUUAACAUCAUUCCCCGAACUAAUGCAGCACAGAUUGGAGUUUCUGGAACAAAGGCGCUGUUAUAGAGGCAGCUCGCACCCUGAGCAGCAGCGAGAGUGGCCCCGCCAAGCUCUUUCCCCAGGAACCACGGUCAGCAUCUCAGCAUCCAGCCACCAUAGCUUGGAGCCCUGUCCGUGAGCAUUUGCACUUUCACUCUGUUUUGUGCAUCCGUUAACAAGAUGUGGCCUGAGGUCAUUGCUUCUUUGCUUUACACCAUUUCAGUUCAUAGGAAGCCUCUGCUUGCAUAUAGCCAGGGAGACCUGUAUUUUUGCUGUCUAUAAUCUAAACAAACCAAAUAUAAUUCUUGUUCUUUAGGAGUUUGUCAUAUAUAUCUUUACAGAGAGAUUAUUAAAUCAGUCAAUUAAUCAGUACCUAAGCAUCAGGUAUAUGAGAUCCUGAUCUUUCAUUUUUUUUAAGAUGGUUGUCCCUCAAGGGGAUGGUUGUUUUCAAGGUUUGAAUAAUCUUUGAGCUCUCCACUGAACAGGAGAGACCAUUAUAGAGUCCAGAGAAGUUCUUGGAGCCACUUCUGUCUGUGUGAUACCUUUAUUGUGCCAUCCUAGCUCUGUACUUCUGCUUUGCUGUCUGUGCAAUGGCUGUGGAAACAUUCUCCUGUUUUUCUAAAAUAAUAAUUUAAUGAAGGAAAUUGGUGUUAUAAAUUUAUAUGCAUAGGAAGCAAACUGCAUUCUUAAUGCCAUUAUAAUGCAUGUGGUAGUGCUUUUUUUUUUCUGGUUCUCCAAUAGGACUAUUAAUAUUUUUACGAGUCAUGAAUGCUUAAAUACACUUAUCUAUUGGCUUAGUUUUGGUACUUGUGUUUAAUCUUUGCCUUAGCAUCUAUCACCACUGGCCCUCUGAAAGUUAAAUAAUUUGUCCAUAAUUAUAAAGCAACUGGACAUCACUGGAAGGCCGUUGAAUUGUUGAAUUACAUUUUCUCUAUUAGCUUCAAAUGACUUGCAAAGACAACUUAAUACAUACAUUAUGUGAUAAAAUGGCUAAAAAAAUACGUAAGUAUUUGACUUAGUAAGUCACUUAAAUACAAGAAAGAAAUGUUAUAAAUAUAUAAAAAUGGACUCUGUAUCUCAGAGCUAUUGUGUUAACUGUGUGAAGUAAUGCACUUUAUGAAACUAUUUAAAUUGCAUAAAAUUUUUAUGACUUACAGGUAAAUUUGUCAGCAUCUAAUUGAGUAAGAGAUUCUUGAAAGCUUUCACUGCAAUUGUUAAUUCAGCAUCAUUGUUCUCUCAGGCUGUUACGUGACCCAACAGGCUGGGAGAACAAUAUUGCUGAAUAUAAUUGGCAUAUGUCAGCAAAAUAUAAUUAGUAACAAGCUUCUUUCUGAAAUGCUCUUUUUGUUGGUUUAAAAAAGUUGAUUUCCUCUUGAAUUAAAUUACAGCUUGGACCUCUCUCUCGUUUGAUUUUGAUAGAUCUUUAAAAAAGCACAAAUAAAUUUUGAUUCAAGAAGUAUGAAUUUGAUUUCCUGGGCCGUGCACACACUGUGAAGGCUUGCCUUUCCUUCAGUGGGUUUUCAGUUUAAUUUUGGGUGUGAGCGCUUUGUAUAGGAAGUAUGGGACAGUGUAUUCUUGAAGGUUAUCAUGAAUGCCCAUCCCGUCAAUUUCCGUUCCAGCCUUGCCUCCCUCCUGCCGCCCCCCCACUUGGAGAUUUGGAAUAAGUGCAAUAACAGGUUAUUUCUCAGGUUAUUGUGGGUGGUAGUUACUGACACCAAAGGUUCAGACUAAAGACAGUGUUUGAAUCGGUUAUCACUGCAUCUCUGUACAUUUAACUCCAGCCAUAUCAUGGCCAAGGUUGGUAAUGGGGGGGAGGGGGAGUAAGUUACAAUUGUCUUUCCUUUAACAGUAUAAAAAAGAAGAUGGAAAUCUUUCACUCUACAGCAUUUUUUUUCCUAUAAUACAUCAUUUUUUUUUAAUGGGAACAGAAACAUAUUUGCCAAAUUGUUCUUUCUGUGAGAAAAAGAACUUUUCACAAUUUCUUCAGAACUCGAGGUUGCAACAAAACAGACUUUUAGUGAAAGGUUGCUUUAGAAUCACAUCUGGAAAUGUGGUCAUUUCACCUAAGCAUGUUGUGUCUUUGUAGUUAUACCCAACCAUCUGAGCAAAGGUCCAACCUGACCCAGCCCACAGCAUCAGUGGGAUGAACCUGGAGGAGUAAGGAAAAUGAGGGGACCAGGGCUUAGCCAUUCACACUGGCCUGCACCCAUGCUGGUGCCCUGCGAGGGCAACACACCAGAGAGAUCAGAGCUCUUGGUCAUCCUCAUUGCCAAGGUCUUUCACAUCUUUAACCUAAUCCAAUGUCAUACUCUGAUCCUCCCUCAGUUGCUCUCUCACCCUGGAUUGGAGGCUCCUGGAUACCAUUCCUGUCUUUGAAGCAGACAGCUCCUUUUCUCCCUGGUCCUCUGUUUUGGCCCCAGGCCCUGUGUUCCUGGGAGCCUGUCUUUCAUUCUUCCGUGCUCCACACAAACCCCGACCGCCUGGCAUUUAUGUUGUAGUGUUAUAGAUCUCACCAUCCUUUAUGCACAGGGAUCAUUCUAAACCCAGAAAAGCUCUGCAUGUAAAAUAAAUUUGGGGCAUGGAGGUGACAAGGUAGGAAAUCUGUCUGUCUCUUUCCAUGCACAUAAUCCAUUUCAAGGCUGAUGGGCAACUACAUUCGAUUCAGAUUCUUGGCCCUUUUAAAGUUAUUCAGUGGAAUACAACCUGUUAGGCAGAAUUAGUUCAGCUUAGUUAAAGGCCUGGAAAGCCAUGAAAAUAAUCAUAUUUAUAGACGUAUCAUGGUGAUCCUUUUGCAACAUAUACAAAUAUCAGAUCACUAUGUAGUACACCUGAAACUGAAAUGACAUUGGAUGUUAUAUUAGCAAAAUUUAAAAAAAAUUUAAAAAUCACAGUUGUUCAGAGGAGACUUAGAGGCAAAGGCUACCAACAAAUUCUGUUUUUUCUUGGAUACUUACCCAUAAGAAAUAGUAUAGACAGAGGCCAGAUCAGCUCAUCACAAAUAAGCUGGCUGUCACAGAGGGCUGGAAUGUAGUGGCAAGCCCUGGGUAGGACAAGUGGUAAUGAAGGCUAGGCCAUGAGAAAGUUUGAUAGGUGUCAACCAAACUUGCAAAACAGAUGAAUCAGAAGGAUGACCAUUUGGUAUUAGCAAAAAAUUAUAUGCUUUGUUUUGAGGGUUUUCAGCAUUUUCAAUUGAAAAAAAAUAUUAGUUCCUCCUGUUCAUGAUCGUAUGAUGUAAAAUUCUUCAGGGUAGUAGAAUCUAAGUCAUCUUUCAGGGCACAGGUUGAUAGAAUGGGAAGAGAGCUGAAUUGCAGGCAAGAGGGAUGAUGCCAGAGCAGAGCAUGAAAUCCUAACAGGACUUGGGUGCUCAUCUGUAAGAGAGCAGUGAUGUCAAGGUGGCUUCAGCAUCACGAGGAGUCAAUGGUGGACAUUUCCUUCAGGAAUCAGAGAACCUUCAUGGUGAGCUGGGCACAGAGGUUGAAUAAGAGUUCACUAAGACCGAAGAGCAGUAUCUAGACUUGUGAACAUUCCUGGUGAGGGUGGUAUGACUGAACUGUAAACCCAUCAUCUUGUGCUAAACAUGGAAAAGAGAGAAGCCCAAGCUCCAAAUCUUAGCUGUGUUAUCCACAUAAUCAAUAAAAUUGCACCUAUAAUUCUAAAGAGUUGCUGUUUUGCAUCCUUUAUCUUUGGGCUGUGGAACUUUGGAAACGUGACUAAAACAGAGAUAAAACAUAAUCUCAUAAUUUUUAAAAAAGCUUUUUUAGGGAGUUCCCAUUGUGGCUCAGUGGAAACAAAUCUGACUAGUAUCCAUGAGGACAGUUUCGAUCCCUGGCCUUGAUCAGUAGUGGGCUAAGGAUCUGGCGUUCCAUGAACUAUGGUGUAGGCUGCAGAUGCAGCUUGGAUCCAGCAUUGCUGUGGCUGUGGCAUAGGCUGACGGCUAUAGCUCUGAUUCGACCCCUAGCCUGGGAACCCCCCUAUGCCAUGGGUGCAGCCCUAAAAAGAAAAAAAAAANAUCUCAGAGGGAAGGCUCAUCACACUCCACUCUAAGCAAAGACUUAUUUGGGGCACUUCACAUAAACGGAGGAGGGUGGAGGAAAUUAAUUGAUUGCUAAAAAUUUAUGAGACUAAGUCCCUACCUAUGAAAGGAAAAUCAGAGAGUGGACAGAGGGGUCUACCAAAAGAAAACCAAACCUUUUUGCAUUGCAGAAGGUGUCCCUUUGAACAAAAUGGAAGAUUUUACCUAAGAAAAUACAGAAUUAUUAAAUGUUCUUAAAAGUGUAUAUGGAUAAUUUCAAAAGCAAACUGGAUUGUUUUCAUUCUCAUUUUGAAAAUGACCUGAAAUUUUGAGGGAAAAAAAUAAUAGAGAAUGCUUCUCCUUAAUUUGUUCAAAGAACUUCAACGUAAAAAUAAAAAAUCGGGAGGAGUUCCUGUCGUGGCACAGUGGAAACGAAUCUGAGUAGGAACCAUGAGGUUGUGGUUUCGAUCCCUGGCCUUGAUCAUUGGGUUAAGGAUCUGGUGUUGCUGUGGCUGUGGUGUAGGCCGGCAGCAACAGCUCUGAUUAGACCCCUAGCCUGGGAACCUCCAUAUGCCUCAGGUGCAACCCUAAAAAAGAAAGACAAAAAAUAAAAAAUCAGAACUCUUUCAUGCUUAACAGGUCAAAUGGUUUAUAGCAAAUAAUAUUGGAGGAAAUGCUUUUGGAGUCCGAAGUAAAUUAUUAAAGUAAUAAGGGAGCCAUUGUGAACAUGUUAAUUUUGUAUAACAGAUUAAUGUUUUUAUAGAGAAAUUGAGAUAGUCACAAAAAGUAAGCAUAGGUUUGCUCAAUUAAACUCUUUAAAAUAAGCUACAAGGAUAUAUUGUCCAUCACAGGGAAUUUAGCCAAUAUUUUACAAUAACUGCAAAUGGAGUAUAACCUUUAAAAAUUUGAAUCACUAUAUUGUACACCUUGUAAAUUAUAUAAUAUUAUAAGGAGCUAUACUUAAAUUUAAAAAACUUUAAAAAGCAAACCAUUUAAAAUGAAGGUAAUUGUGUCUAUGUGAAUGAAUCAUGUGCUCACUGUGAGAGUAGAGUCAGAGGUUUUUACAUAUAUUAAUUGAAUCUGAAAUAGCUAACUUGAAAACCCAUCUUCAUACCCUUACAAAUACUAUAAAUGAUUUGCACCGUGAUUCUACUCACCCAUUUACGUAUUAAUUACCCAUCCAACAAAUAUGUCUAGUAAUCCUUUUCUUCAGGCACCUUGUGGAGUGCUGGAGAAAGAAGAAUUAAUAAAAUACAACACUUGACUUGAGGAAUUCACGGUCCCUUGAGAAUGCUGGACAUGGAAGUCCCUAUAAAUCCUUUAUCCAUGCCUGAGGAGCUCACUCAACUUUGUUUCCAGAGAUGAACUUUAAGGUGGUUUGGUCCUAACAAAGUGAUACAUUUUGUUUUAAAAGUCAACGUGUACCCUACUUUUAAGUGGAUACCAGAGCUACUUCACCCAUGGUGUACAGGGGCAAAUUUCUCUGGGCAAGACCUAGGCAGGGGUCCUGAGCAAACCUUGAGGAUGGAGGGUUCACUGUUCUUCUGCCAAAUUUCAUGUGUACUUUGCCCUUCCAGAAGAGCAUGGCCCUAGAUAUAGGUAUUUAACACAAGUAAAGCAAUGAGUAGUUGCAGAAAAGGAAAAGAAACAAAAGAGAAGAAAAAAGGAGAGAACAGAGGAUUAACUGCAGAAAGAAUUCCAAAACGCUUCAAAAUACUCAAGAGGAAGAGAGCUUUGAGUGUGUAUACUGUAGACCCAAGAAGAGAAAUCUUUUUUUUUUCCUUUUCUUUUUUUGUCUUUUCUAGGGCUGCACCUGCGACAUAUGGAGGUUCCCAGACUAGGGGUCUAAUUGGAGCUGUAGCCGCCAGCCUACGCCACAGCCACAGCAAAGCGGGACCCAGCCACGUCUGCGACCUACACCACAGCUCACGGCAACGCUGGAUCCUUAACCCACUGAGCGAGGCCAGGGAUCGAACCCGCAACCUUAUGGUUCCUAGUCAGAUUCGUUAACCACUGAGCCACGACAGGAACUCCCAAGAAGACAAAUCUUGAGAAGAUGAAUUAUUAGGAGAAAAUUGAAGACCAACCAGUAAGUAAAGAAAGAAAGAAAGAGAAAGGAAGGAAGGAAGGAAGGAAGGAAGGAAGGAAAGAAGGAAAGAAAGAAAGAAAAGAAAGAAAGAAAGAAAGAAAGAAAGAAAGAAAGAAAGAAAGAAAGAAAGAAAGAAAGAAAGAAAGAAAAG
rnacentral:lncRNA from 1 species